rnacentral:snRNA from 1 species
AUCUGUUCUUAUCAGUUUAAUAUCUGAUACGUCCCCUAUCCGGGGACUGCAUAUUAAAUGGAUUUUUGGAUCAUGGAGCUGGAGCCGGGGCUUGCUCUGCCCACUCCAUGCAUCGGUCUGGUAUUGCAGUAUCUCCAGAAACGGUGU